UUGAAUGCAACAACAAUGUCAGUGUCAAGAAGGUUAAGGUUUCUCUCAAACCUCAAUGUCAUUCUUUGCUUCUCUUCGACUUCAAGGUUAUACUCUCGUUCUCAUUCUCAGUCUCACUCUCCAUUCAUUAACAAAGCUAAUGAUACUGUUGCGUCAUUCAAUCGCAUGCUCCGUAUGCGUCCCACCCCACCCAUAAUCGAAUUUAGCAAGAUUUUAGGAUCCCUUGUGAAGAUGAAGCAUUACAACACUGCUAUUUCCCUUUCUAAACAGAUGGAGUUCAGUGGAAUUGCUCCAACCAUUGUUACUUUGAGCAUGUUGAUAAAUUGUUUCUGUCACAUGGGUCAAUUGAAUUUUGCUUUUUCUGUAUUAGGCAAGAUUUUCAAGAGGGGUUAUCAUCCAAAUACCAUAACCUUUACAACACUUAUGAAAGGUCUAUGCCUUAACCGUCAGGUUAAGAAAGCACUGCACUUUCAUGACCUCGUGGUUGCACGAGGAUAUCAGUUGGACCAAGUCUGUUAUGGGACCUUGAUCAAUGGGUUAUGUAAAAUUGGAGAGACAAGAGCAGCCAUGCAGUUGCUGAGAAAGAUUGAUGGGAAAGCGGUUAAGCCUAAUGUGGUAAUGUAUAGCACAAUCAUUGAUAGCCUAUGCAAAGAUAAACUUGUAGCUGAUGCAUGUGAUUUAUAUUCUGAAAUGGUUGUCAAGGGAAUUCAUCCUAAUGUUGUCACUUUCAGUUCUCUGAUCUAUGGCUUUUGCAUUUUGAGUCAAUUGAAAGAUGCAAUUGGUUUGUUAAAUGAAAUGCCAUUGAAAAACAUCUACCCUGAUAAUUAUACCUUUAAUAUGUUGGUUGAUGCAUUAUGUAAGGAAGGAAAGGUUAAAGAAGCAAAAACUAUGUUAGCUGUGAUGAUAAAAGAAGGUAUAGAACCUGAUGUUGUCACUUAUAGUUCAUUAAUGGAUGGGUAUUGCUUAGUUAAUGAAGUGAACAAUGCGAGAUAUGUGUUCCACACUAUGGCCCAAAGAGGAAUAACUCCUAAUGUUUGGAGCUAUAAUAUCAUGAUUAACGGAUUAUGUAAGAACAAAAUGGUACAUGAAGCCAUGAAUCUCUUUAGAGAAAUGCAGUGCAAAAAUAUGACUCCUGAUACGGUCACCUACAGCUCUCUUAUUGAUGGUUUGUGCAAAUCAGGGAGGAUCUCUUAUGUUUGGGGUCUUAUUGAUGAGAUGCAUGAUAAAGGUCAACCAGCUAAUGUAAUCACUUACAAUUCCUUAUUAGACUCUUUAUGCAAAAACCAUCAUCUGGACAAGGCAAUUGCAUUAUUCAAGAAAAUGAAAGACGAGGGAAUUCUGCCAAGUGUGUGCACAUACAGUAUACUUAUAGAUGGACUAUGCAAAGGUGGAAGACUUAAGAAUGCACGUGAGGUUUUUCAGGAUCUUCUGAUCAAAGGCUAUCAUAUAAAUGUCUGGACGUAUAAUAUUAUGAUCAAUGGGCUGUGUAAAGAGGGCUUGUUUGAUGAAGCAUUGGCCUUGCUGUCAAAAAUGGAAGACAAUGGUUGCAUUCCUAAUGCUAUAACUUUUGAAGUAAUUAUUUGUGCUCUCUUUGAAAAAGAUGAGAAUCAUAGGGCAGAGAAAAUUCUUCGUGAAAUGAUUGCCAGAGGUCUGCUGUAAGAGAAAGAUUAGGUGCAUGAGAACAAAACAUUUUCAGAGAGAAAAGUUCAUCUGCACCAGAAGAUCCAGAGACUGCCAAGAAACUAAAAUUGCUGAAUGAUAAGAUCUCAAGCAAUUGCUCUGCUAUGCUAAUUGUUUUGAAAAGGAUGAAAGACUGGAUAAGCAUAAUAUAUCACAAUUUAGUUUUUUUUUCUUAACACGUAAGAAGACAGAUAAUUCAGUUUGACCAAAUUUGAUUUGUUCAAUGAAGCCACGUGUUCACAUUUUCCUCAUGCUGCAAGUUCUCUGGAGUACAUCACCAUUGUGGCUUCUUGUUCCGCACGUGUGAAGCAGAAUAGGGUUCUUCUCACCAAUGGCUAAGGGAAGAAGCAUUGAACUUAUUCUUCAACCUAUUGUAAGCUUGGUCAUUAGGAGAUUUAGUCAACUUAAUUUAUGCAGUUAGGGAGGUCUUUACUAUAGCCAAAGUUCAUUUGCUAUAGGAUUCUGUUCACCUAUGGGGCUUGCUUGCUUACUUUUUUUUGGUAAAUCAUAAUUUAGUAUCAAACU